rnacentral:misc_RNA from 1 species
GAUGAAGAACUCAGCGAAAUGCGAUAAGUAAUGUGAAUUGCAGAAUUCAGUGAAUCAUCGAAUCUUUGAACGCACAUUGCGCCCCCUGGUAUUCCGGGGGGCAUGCCUGUUCGAGCGUCAUUUCACCACUCAAGCCUCGCUUGGUAUUGGGCAACGCGGUCCGCCGCGUGCCUCAAAUCGACCGGCUGGGUCUUCUGUCCCCUAAGCGUUGUGGAAACUUUCGCUAAAGGGUGUUCGGGAGGCUACGCCGUAAAACAACCCCAUUUCUAAGGUUGACCUCGGAUCAGGUAGGGAUACCCGCUGAACUUAAGCAUAUCAAUAAGCGGAGGA